rnacentral:rRNA from 1 species
GCGAACGCUGGCGGCGUGCUUAACACCUGCAAGUCGCACGGAAAGGCCCUGCUUGCAGGGUCCUCGAGUGGCGAACGGGUGAGUAACACGUGGGUGAUCUGCCCUGCACUUCGGGAUAAGCCUGGGAAACUGGGUCUAAUACCGGAUAGGAGCCAUUUUUAGUGUGAUGGUUGGAAAGUUUUUUCGGUGUAGGAUGAGCUCGCGGCCUAUCAGCUUGUUGGUGGGGUAAUGGCCUACCAAGGCGGCGACGGGUAGCCGGCCUGAGAGGGUGGACGGCCACAUUGGGACUGAGAUACGGCCCAGACUCCUACGGGAGGCAGCAGUGGGGAAUAUUGCACAAUGGGCGCAAGCCUGAUGCAGCGACGCCGCGUGGGGGAUGACGGCCUUCGGGUUGUAAACUCCUUUCGCUAGGGACGAAGCUUUUUGUGACGGUACCUAGAUAAGAAGCACCGGCUAACUACGUG